AACGAACGCUGGCGGCAGGCUUAACACAUGCAAGUCGAACGCAUCGCAAGAUGAGUGGCAGACGGGUGAGUAACGCGUGGGAACGUACCCUUUACUACGGAAUAGCUCCGGGAAACUGGAAUUAAUACCGUAUGUGCCCUUCGGGGGAAAGAUUUAUCGGUAAAGGAUCGGCCCGCGUUGGAUUAGCUAGUUGGUGGGGUAAAGGCCUACCAAGGCGACGAUCCAUAGCUGGUCUGAGAGGAUGAUCAGCCACAUUGGGACUGAGACACGGCCCAAACUCCUACGGGAGGCAGCAGUGGGGAAUAUUGGACAAUGGGCGCAAGCCUGAUCCAGCCAUGCCGCGUGAGUGAUGAAGGUCUUAGGAUUGUAAAGCUCUUUCGCCGGGGAAGAUAAUGACGGUACCCGGAGAAGAAGCCCCGGCUAACUUCGUGCCAGCCGCCGCCGUAAUAC
rnacentral:rRNA from 1 species